AACCCCUAUGAUAACUGAUUAUGAUUAAAAAUGUUAAAAGUAGUGACUGAUAUCUUCUUGUUGAUAUUGCAGCUCUGAGUGUCU
rfam:Brassica rapa chromosome A8, whole genome shotgun sequence.